GCAAACUCUGAGAUUGGAGAAGACUCUGACAUGGGAGCUAGGGAAGCUGCAGCUGAUUCAGACAUGGGAACUGGGGAAACUGUAGCAGACUCGGUGGCCGGCUCGGGGAACCACAACGGAAUAUAGCUGGCCUUGGGUUAGUAAACAAUAACAAUCAAAAGGGCAUAACAAUAAACACAAAGGCAAGGCAGAAAAAUAAGGCUAGGGAUGCUUUGGCUAAGACAGUCAGUACUACUGAAAUAACACAUACACAGGAUAUAACAACGAAUUGACACAGGACAGGAGAACAGAAGGGAAUAUAAAGGGAAGGACAUCAGAACCUAAACUAGAAACAAGAGGGAAGAGAGAUAAGACAAUGAGCAGGAAGAAUGAAACAAUAAUGAGGAGAUUAACAGUGUAACAAGGGGGUGGGGUAAUAUUCCUCCACUGCUGCCCGAAUCACUUCCAUCUCAUUCAGACCUGAUGUGUGUGCCAAGUACAUCUGGAGACAGAUUUCUGAUCUGUCUGCUGUCUGCGGUGCCUCCUGGACUUUACCCAGGUCAUCCAUUGUGUUUGGUAUGGAUGAGGUCAGAGAUGAUGAUGAACUGGGGUACUCAGUAUUAUCAGUGAGGAUUCACCGUCAGCUGAUGCCCCAGAAAAACACAAUAUCAGCCUGAAUGAUGCUGUGGAGAACAUCACACAAGAAGAGCUUGUAAAAGAGCAAGAGAAAAGGAAUCCGUGGCUUCCUCAAGAGAAUGUGGAAGGCCCGUGUGGAACUGAUCAUUUCUCCACUGCUGCCGGGUGAAUCUGAACCGGACCUAAGAUCCGUUCAGCAAACAGCUGAUCCUGCUCAUCCUGAACCGUAUCCCGUGUCAGAUCCAACAGGGGUCAAGCCGAAUCAUGUGUUUUCGAGAUCAUGUUGUGCUGCGCAGAACGAUCGGCGAGAUUAGCCGAGAGCAGUCGGGAACGGAGUUGAAAAUGGAGCUGUCAAGUCGGACACUUCAGUGCUCACGUUGCUACCUCAAACAUGGCAGAUCACUUGGCGUUUACUUGCUUUAUUGCAGACGAACUGGAAGCUAUAUAAAUGCCGUUAUUUUUGCAUGAAAUACAGCACAGUGAACAACAACGCAUGCCAAUAUCUUUUGAAAAUGUCAUAUGAACGGCCCACACUCGAGCAGAUGUAUCAGCACACCUGGU